rnacentral:lncRNA from 1 species
UGAUGUUUAACGCCGCUAACCCUUUUGUUUGUCUCGUGUUUAGAUGAGACGAAUCUCCCAGCAGACAUCCCGAGCUAUCUGUCAUCUCAGGGAACGCUAGCGGAGCGUCAGGACGGAUUCAUGGCGUCUGAGAGUGGCAGCAGCCAUCAGUACAUCAGCUCCUCCACGGGAGGAUUUUACAUGCCACCCAAAGACCUCAACAGUGAGACGUGACCACUGCUCUCUUUAUAUACACAGAAAUGCACUGUAAAAAAUACACAUACAGUGGGUACGGGACAUCCCGAGCUAUCUGUCAUCUCAGGGAACGCUAGCGGAGCGUCAGGACGGAUUCAUGGCGUCUGAGAGUGGCAGCAGCCAUCAGUACAUCAGCUCCUCCACGGGAGGAUUUUACAUGCCACCCAAAGACCUCAACAGCCUCUGCCAGCUGGACACAGGAAGUGAUGCGGACAUGGAGGCGGCGAUCGACCCCCUGCUGUGCCAUUAUCAGGGGCCUGUGGGUUCACUGCUGAGACGGAGCAACCGCUACAGCCCCGAUCUGCACGACAGCUGCAGCGCGUGUGCGUCCGUCGGAGCCGCUUCCUCCUGCAGCAGGAAGUGUGAGUUCUACACCUGCAGCUCCGCCCUCGAGCCCUUCGAUCACAUGAUGAUGCAGCUGGGGGACACUUCCUGUGUGGAGGACUGUGAGAGCGGACAGUGCGUUCUGGGCUCCUCGGGGUCAUAUAUGGGUACGUUUGGGAAAGCGGCGUGGCGGCCGCAGCAGGAGCUCUGCGCUCAUAACGCCGUCAUUCUUCAGGAGAAUCCGUACGCAGCGCUUCACGCCGACUCAGACCUGGACGAGGAGCACGCGAGCGUUUACCAGCAGCCGCUUGAUCACCGGACGAUAGAGAGCGUUCCCACGUCACCGCUGGGCUCUUAGCGCCUUCGACACGACGACGACCAAAAACCAGAAACGCUCUACCUCAAGACAAGAGCUGCGACUGAAUGUAAAUGACACGUUUGUACAGAAAAACAGAUUAUAUGCAUUUUAUACCAAAUUAUAUUUUGUAAAUUAAUAGUGUAAAUAUGACCCUUAUUUUUCUCUUUUCCUGCGAUAUAUGCGACAGAUCGAGGACUAGUUUAACUGUGGACUCUAGUUUGAUCCGGAUCUGUUUAUGAUGUUUAUUCCGCUUUGGCUUUUGCUUUGAAUAAAGCACCAUUUGCACAAACUAGUACACAAUAAACAUUCCCGUGAGCUGCUACACUUGUGAACGCUUGCGUCAUCUUUUUUGAUUGUGCCGAUGUGCUUUUAUUCUUCAUGGGAUCAGGUUUGGAGAAAUGUAGCAUUGCAUCAGUGUCUCAGCAAUGGAUGCCCUGCAGUGAAUGGGUGCCGUCAGAACGAGAGCUGAUAGAAACGUCACAAUAAUCCAC